UACGGAGGGUGCAAGCGUUAUCCGGAUUUACUGGGUUUAAAGGGUGCGUAGGUGGUUUUUUAAGUCAGUGGUGAAAUCGUUCGGCUCAACCGGACAGCUGCCAUUGAUACUGGAAGACUUGAAUGCGGAUGAAGUGGGCGGAAUAAAUCAUGUAGAGGUGAAAUUCUUAGAGAUGAUUUAGAACACCGAUUGCGAAGGCAGCUCACUAAUGCGUUAUUGACACUGAGGCACGAAAGCGUGGGGAUCAAACAGG
rnacentral:rRNA from 1 species